rnacentral:rRNA from 1 species
ACACCGGCAGCUCUAGUGGUAGCAGUUUUUAUUGGGCCUAAAGCGUCCGUAGCCGGUUUAAUAAGUCUCUGGUGAAAUCCUGUAGCUUAACUGUGGGAAUUGCUGGAGAUACUAUUAGACUUGAGACCGGGAGAGGUUAGAGGUACUCCCAGGGUAGAGGUGAAAUUCUGUAAUCCUGGGAGGACCGCCUGUUGCGAAGGCGUCUAACUGGAACGGUUCUGACGGUGAGGGACGAAAGUUAGGGGCGCGAACCGGAUUAGAUACCCGGGUAGUCCUAACUGUAAACGAUGCGGACUUGGUGUUGGGGUGGCUUUGAGCUGCUCCAGUGCCGAGGGGAAGCUGUUAAGUCCGCCGCCUGGGAAGUACGGUCGCAAGACUGAAACUUAAAUGAAUUGGCGGGG